rnacentral:rRNA from 1 species
AUUGAACGCUGGCGGCAGGCCUAACACAUGCAAGUCGAACGGUAACAGGGAUCAGCUUGCUGAUUCGCUGACGAGUGGCGGACGGGUGAGUAAUGUCUGGGAAACUGCCUGAUGGAGGGGGAUAACUACUGGAAACGGUAGCUAAUACCGCAUAACGUCGCAAGACCAAAGAGGGGGACCUUCGGGCCUCUUGCCAUCGGAUGUGCCCAGAUGGGAUUAGCUAGUAGGUGGGGUAACGGCUCACCUAGGCGACGAUCCCUAGCUGGUCUGAGAGGAUGACCAGCCACACUGGAACUGAGACACGGUCCAGACUCCUACGGGAGGCAGCAGUGGGGAAUAUUGCACAAUGGGCGCAAGCCUGAUGCAGCCAUGCCGCGUGUAUGGAGAAGGCCUUCGGGUUGUAAAGUACUUUCAGCGGGGAGGAAGGGAGUAAAGUUAAUACCUUUGCUCAUUGACGUUACCCGCAGAAGAAGCACCGGCUAACUCCGUG